rnacentral:rRNA from 1 species
GGCUCAGGAUGAACGCUGGCGGCGUGCCUAAUACAUGCAAGUCGAACGAAUCUCUUUUAGAGAUGAGUGGCGAACGGGUGAGUAAUACAUAGGUAACCUGCCCCUGUGCGGGGGAUAACAGGAGGAAACUCCUGCUAAUACCGCAUAGCCAUGAGCACCGCAUGGAGCUCAUGCCAAAUAUCCUUUAUGGGAUAGCGCAGGGAUGGACCUAUGGCGCAUUAGCUGGUUGGCGGGGCAACGGCCCACCAAGGCAACGAUGCGUAGCCGGCCUGAGAGGGCGGACGGCCACAUUGGGACUGAGACACGGCCCAGACUCCUACGGGAGGCAGCAGUAGGGAAUUUUCGGCAAUGGGGGAAACCCUGACCGAGCAACGCCGCGUGAGCGAAGAAGGCCUUCGGGUCGUAAAGCUCUGUUGUAAAGGAAGAACGGCGCAUACAGGAAAUGGUAUGCGAGUGACGGUACUUUACCAGAAAGCCACGGCUAACUACGUGCCAGCAGCCGCGGUAAUACGUAGGUGGCGAGCGUUAUCCGGAAUCAUUGGGCGUAAAGAGGGAGCAGGCGGCCGCAAGGGUCUGUGGUGAAAGACCGAAGCUAAACUUCGGUAAGCCAUGGAAACCGGGCGGCUAGAGUGCGGAAGAGGAUCGUGGAAUUCCAUGUGUAGCGGUGAAAUGCGUAGAUAUAUGGAGGAACACCAGUGGCGAAGGCGACGGUCUGGGCCGCAACUGACGCUCAUUCCCGAAAGCGUGGGGAGCAAAUAGGAUUAGAUACCCUAGUAGUCCACGCCGUAAACGAUGGUCACUAAGUGUCGGGGGUCAAACCCCGGUAAAGCAGUCAACGCAAUAAGUGACCCGCCUGAGUAG